AACGAACGCUGGCGGCGCGCCUAAUACAUGCAAGUCGAGCGAGAAGGUGUAGCAAUACACUUGUAAAGCGGCGAACGGGUGAGGAAUACAUGGGUAACCUACCGUCGAGUGGGGAAUAACCAGCCGAAAGGCUGGCUAAUACCGCGUACGCUUCCGGAUCCUCGGGUUCGGAAGGAAAGCGAUACCGUGGGUAUCGCGCUCUUCGAUGGGCUCAUGUCCUAUCAGCUUGUUGGUAGGGUAACGGCCUACCAAGGCUUUGACGGGUAGCUGGUCUGAGAGGACGAUCAGCCACACUGGCACUGCGACACGGGCCAGACUCCUACGGGAGGCAGCAGUAAGGAAUAUUGCGCAAUGGGCGACAGCCUGACGCAGCGACGCCGCGUGGGGGAUGAAGGUCUUCGGAUUGUAAACCCCUUUCGGGAGGGAAGAUGGGACGGGCAACCGUUCGGACGGUACCUCCAGAAGCAGCCACGGCCAACUUCGUGC
rnacentral:rRNA from 1 species